UACGUAGGUGGCAAGCGUUGUCCGGAUUACUGGGCGUAAAGAGCGCGCAGGCGGUCAGAUAAGUCGAAUGUGAAAGCCCCCGGCUCAACUGGGAGGGUCAUUCGAUACUGUUCGACUCGGAAGGCAGGAGAGGGAAGUGGAAUUCCCGGUGAGUGGUGAAAUGCGUAGAUAGUCGGGAGGAACACCAGUGGCGAAGGCGGCUCU
rnacentral:rRNA from 1 species